rnacentral:rRNA from 1 species
UGGGGAAUUUUGCUCAAUGGGGGAAACCCUGAUGCAGCGACGCCGCGUGAUUUAGAAGGCCUUCGGGUUGUAAAAAUCUUUUUUACGGGAUGAAAAUGACAGUACCGUAAGAAUAAGGUCCGGCUAAAUACGUGCCAGCAGCCGCGGUAAUACGUAUGGACCGAGCGUUGUCCGGAAUCAUUGGGCGUAAAGGGUACGUAGGCGGCCUAGUAAGUUAGAAGUGAAAGAAUAUAGCUCAACUAUAUAAAGCUUUUAAAACUGUUAGGCUUGAGAGAUGAAAGGGAAAGUGGAAUUCCUAGUGUAGCGGUGAAAUGCGCAGAUAUUAGGAAGAAUACCGGUGGCGAAGGCGACUUUCUGGUCAUCAUCUGACGCUGAGGUACGAAAGCGUGGGUAGCAAACAGG